UACGUAGGUGCCAAGCGUUGUCCGGAUUUACUGGGUGUAAAGAGCGCGCAGGCGGUCGUUCAAGUCGAGUGUGAAAGCCCCCGGCUCAACUGGGGAGGGUCAUUCGAUACUGAUCGACUCGAAGGCAGGAGAGGGAAGUGGAAUUCCCGGUGUAGUGGUGAAAUGCGUAGAUAUCGGGAGGAACACCAGUGGCGAAGGCGACUUCCUGGCCUGUUCUUGACGCUGAGGCGCGAAAGCUAGGGGAGCAAACGGG
rnacentral:rRNA from 1 species